UUGGGGGCAAAAACCUUUCAGACUCUUGUCCCGGGACACAAAAGCCGGUCACCUGGCUGACGCGUACCCCUGAGGCGCCGCCACCCUGAGGCAGAGAGCCUGUUCUUCCUCCAACAGUCGUUGCCCUGUGAUAGCACCGUCCUUCCAGGCGUUCGCUGCUAUCCUCCCGCCUUGCAUUGGAAGCUUGUCCGCCUGAGAGAGAAAAACAUGAACCUGAAGCUGAUUUCCUGAGUUUUCUCUAUUAAAAAUGCAGGAAUGGACUCCUAAGGGUGCCUCUCAUGGAGCUGCUGGAACCGGCCCUUCUGCUACUCUAGGAUAUUUGAGAUUUCUACUGCCUUUCUUCGUUCAUAAGUGAAGCUACGCAUGCUAGUACAUAUGACAGAAGUACCUACGCAGAGCUUGCUAAAGCACAACUGUAGUUAGUUAUUUCCUGGAGUCAGAGAUGCCUCUGAAAAGACGCCUUUUUCUUUAGUGUCUCGAAAAACAAGGCUUCCAAAUGGCCAUUUCUGCUGGGACAAGAAAAAAGUCACAGGAGUUUGAUUUUUGUAGUAUUUGUCUUUGCUUAGAGCUUUGUCCCUGCUUAGAAGAGUGUAAUAACAAGUCCAGCUAGCAAUAAGCAGGUGUUAUUCACACUGCAAUGGUGGUGAAAAAAGCUGAAUAUGAUACAUGUUUUUAAUUCAAUAUUUCCAGGAGGAGGAGGGGCGUGGUUCAGGAGGCUUCUUUGAAAAGUAUUAGAAAAUGCUUAGAAAUAAUUUGGGCAUUGUCAAUGAAAAAAAAAAAAAUCAUCUCUGCUUUUAAAAAUGUAGGAAAGAGAUCUGGAAAAUAGGACCUUUCAAUCCAUUACGUUCUCUGCCGCUCAUAUUUCAUACCUUUGUACUGAUGAUUCAGUCCUUCUCCAAUCCAUUUCUUUAUCAAAGCAGUGUUUGCCAAGUGUUAGCAAGGAGAAACUUCAUGAUCCUUAAAGCCCAUAUAUCACAAAGAAAACCAAAGUUCACGACCUUAUUAAGAUCAAUAUAUUCCACGUGUAGAUAAGAGCUGAACUAUUGUUCCUUGUAUUCCUACAUACAACUGUUCAUUGUAUGUAACAAUUAAGCACAUAACCUGAAAAAGAUAAUUUUGAUUUGCUCCAUUUUUGAAAUUAGGAUUCCUUGGAUGAAAAAAAAAAAAAGCCAUAAAAUGUAUAAUUUUAUGGGGGUUUUUAUGCUGAAAAUGUUUUAUGUUAGGUGAGACGUGCUCAGUGUUGGCUAUAACAGCAUUCGAUUAACAUCUGAAAUACUUAGAUACAGGAUGUUUAAUUUAGUUAGUAAAAAGUCAACACUUUUCCAAUUCAAUACUUCAGGUUCUUCUUGGGUUUUUUGCUUGGGUUUUGGCAUAAUAUGGAGACAAUAUAUUUAUUAGUUUUUUAAAAGAGCUGUGUUCAAAAUUAAAUGGGAUGUGCUUUACAGAAUAUUUUUGUUUGUGGGGAAAAAUAUCAAAGACUAGAAAAUAUUAUCACUCGUUUAAGGAGCCAUCCUCACAGUGCCUAGCUGUGUUUUACAACGCAACAUCCUUCCUAAACCACACUAUAAUUUCUAAAAUACUCUUUCUUCAAUGAAAUUGAAGGAAUUGACAAAGGCAGGCAUUAUAUAUUUGAUUUACAAAUAAAAAAUGGAUGCCCAUAGAAACAUAAACUUCCUGUCCAAAAAUAAUAGUAUGAAUUAACCUUUCCUAGAUAACUUUUAAUGACCUUCUCUGCCUUUUCUGGAGCAGUGGUGAUGAACUUCGGCCUUGUAUCUGAUGUGACUGCUCUUUUGGAGGCUUAUCAAUGCUGAAGUAUACUUAUUUUCUGCUUCAUAAAGAAAGCACAGAUUUCUAAGACAUGGAGAACUUGUCGGGACUGCUGAAACACUUCUAUGAAGACAUUCAGAAAGUCUCAUGUAUGAUGCCCAGUGUAUUCAGAGGUGCUAUCCCUAAAUGUUCAGCCAUCGCAUUUGAUCAUGCCCAUGAACUUACUUGGAGCAGCUUGGAAGUUUUCAAAACACACCACAUUCAUUUUCAGAACAAAUGAAAGUGGGAGGUAAAUCUGACCACACUUCUUAAACCAGAUUAUAUAAAAUUCAACAUGGUGCUCUUAUUUUAUUAAAACCAGAGAUGGCAAAACAUACAAAUAGAUUUGUUCAGAGAACAGAAUAAAGAAAUACAGUUUUUAACAAUUA